GUGUGUGUGUGUGUGUGUGUAUUUAGCAGUCUGUGUGUACUCAGCAGUCUGUGUGUGUAUUCAGCAGUCUACUAAAUACAGACAGACUGCUAAAUACACACACAGACUG
rnacentral:miRNA from 1 species